UGACCAUAUCACAUUGAAACACUGGUUUCUGUAUGAUCACUACAGUUAAGCAACAUUGAGUUUGAUCAGUAUCUAGAUGAGUGACUGCUUGGGAAUACCAGGUGCUGUA